rnacentral:rRNA from 1 species
UACGGAGGGUGCAAGCGUAUCCGGAUUUACUGGGUUUAAAGGGUGCGUAGGCGGAUAAGUAAGUCCGUGGUGAAAUCCUGCAGCUUAACUGCAGAACUGCCGUGGAUACUAUUUGUCUUGAAUAUCGUGGAGGUUAGCGGAAUAUGUCAUGUAGCGGUGAAAUGCUUAGAUAUGACAUAGAACACCCAUUGCGAAGGCAGCUAACUACGCGAUUAUUGACGCUGAUGCACGAAAAGCGUGGGGAUCAAACAGG